rnacentral:tRNA from 1 species
AUUUAAAUAGUUUAAAAUAUUAAAACAUUACUUUUUCAAUGUAAAAAUAAUUUUUAGAUUUUUAAAUU